AUGAACGCUAGCUACAGGCUUAACACAUGCAAGUCGAGGGGCAGCAUUUUAGUUUGCUUGCAAACUAAAGAUGGCGACCGGCGCACGGGUGAGUAACACGUAUCCAACCUGCCGAUAACUCGGGGAUAGCCUUUCGAAAGAAAGAUUAAUAUCCGAUAGUAUAUUAAAACCGCAUGGUUUUACUAUUAAAGAAUUUCGGUUAUCGAUGGGGAUGCGUUCCAUUAGUUUGUUGGCGGGGUAACGGCCCACCAAGACUACGAUGGAUAGGGGUUCUGAGAGGAAGGUCCCCCACAUUGGAACUGAGACACGGUCCAAACUCCUACGGGAGGCAGCAGUGAGGAAUAUUGGUCAAUGGACGAGAGUCUGAACCAGCCAAGUAGCGUGAAGGAUGACUGCCCUAUGGGUUGUAAACUUCUUUUAUAUGGGAAUAAAGUAUUCCACGUGUGGGAUUUUGUAUGUACCAUAUGAAUAAGGAUCGGCUAACUCCGUGCCAGCAGCCGCGGUAAUACGGAGGAUCCGAGCGUUAUCCGGAUUUAUUGGGUUUAAAGGGAGCGUAGGUGGAUUGUUAAGUCAGUUGUGAAAGUUUGCGGCUCAACCGUAAAAUUGCAGUUGAAACUGGCAGUCUUGAGUACAGUAGAGGUGGGCGGAAUUCGUGGUGUAGCGGUGAAAUGCUUAGAUAUCACGAAGAACUCCGAUUGCGAAGGCAGCUCACUAGACUGCAACUGACACUGAUGCUCGAAAGUGUGGGUAUCAAACAGGAUUAGAUACCUUGGUAGUCCACACAGUAAACGAUGAAUACUCGCUGUUUGCGAUAUACGGCAAGCGGCCAAGCGAAAGCGUUAAGUAUUCCACCUGGGGAGUACGCCGGCAACGGUGAAACUCAAAGGAAUUGACGGGGGCCCGCACAAGCGGAGGAACAUGUGGUUUAAUUCGAUGAUACGCGAGGAACCUUACCCGGGCUUAAAUUGCAUUUGAAUAAUCUGGAAACAGGUUAGCCGCAAGGCAAAUGUGAAGGUGCUGCAUGGUUGUCGUCAGCUCGUGCCGUGAGGUGUCGGCUUAAGUGCCAUAACGAGCGCAACCCUUAUCUUUAGUUACUAACAGGUCAUGCUGAGGACUCUAGAGAGACUGCCGUCGUAAGAUGUGAGGAAGGUGGGGAUGACGUCAAAUCAGCACGGCCCUUACGUCCGGGGCUACACACGUGUUACAAUGGGGGGUACAGAAGGCAGCUACCUGGCGACAGGAUGCUAAUCCCAAAAACCUCUCUCAGUUCGGAUCGAAGUCUGCAACCCGACUUCGUGAAGCUGGAUUCGCUAGUAAUCGCGCAUCAGCCAUGGCGCGGUGAAUACGUUCCCGGGCCUUGUACACACCGCCCGUCAAGCCAUGAAAGCCGGGGGUACCUGAAGUACGUAACCGCAAGGAGCGUCCUAGGGUAAAACUGGUAAUUGGGGCU
rnacentral:rRNA from 1 species